AGAGUUUGAUCAUGGCUCAGAACGAACGCUGGCGGCAUGCCUAAUACAUGCAAGUCGAACGAGACCUUCGGGUCUAGUGGCGCACGGGUGCGUAACGCGUGGGAAUCUGCCCUUGGGUUCGGAAUAACUUCGGGAAACUGAAGCUAAUACCGGAUGAUGACGAAAGUCCAAAGAUUUAUCGCCCAGGGAUGAGCCCGCGUAGGAUUAGCUAGUUGGUGGGGUAAAGGCUCACCAAGGCAACGAUCCUUAGCUGGUCUGAGAGGAUGAUCAGCCACACUGGGACUGAGACACGGCCCAGACUCCUACGGGAGGCAGCAGUAGGGAAUAUUGGACAAUGGGCGAAAGCCUGAUCCAGCAAUGCCGCGUGAGUGAUGAAGGCCUUAGGGUUGUAAAGCUCUUUUACCCGAGAUGAUAAUGACAGUAUCGGGAGAAUAAGCUCCGGCUAACUCCGUGCCAGCAGCCGCGGUAAUACGGAGGGAGCUAGCGUUGUUCGGAAUUACUGGGCGUAAAGCGCACGUAGGCGGCGAUUUAAGUCAGAGGUGAAAGCCCGGGGCUCAACCCCGGAACUGCCUUUGAGACUGGAUUGCUAGAAUCUUGGAGAGGCGAGUGGAAUUCCGAGUGUAGAGGUGAAAUUCGUAGAUAUUCGGAAGAACACCAGUGGCGAAGGCGACUGACUGGACAAGUAUUGACGCUGAGGUGCGAAAGCGUGGGGAGCGAACAGGAUUAGAUACCCUGGUAGUCC
rnacentral:rRNA from 1 species